CAAAUAAUUAAAACUUUUAACAACGGAUCUCUUGGUUCUGGCAUCGAUGAAGAACGCAGCGAAAUGCGAUAAGUAAUGUGAAUUGCAGAAUUCAGUGAAUCAUCGAAUCUUUGAACGCACAUUGCGCCCGCCAGCAUUCUGGCGGGCAUGCCUGUUCGAGCGUCAUUUC
rnacentral:rRNA from 1 species